rnacentral:rRNA from 1 species
AGCAGCCGCGGUAAUUCCAGCUCCAAUAGCGUAUAUUAAAGUUGUUGCAGUUAAAAAGCUCGUAGUUGAAUUUCGGGAUCAAAGGAUCGGUCAUGCCUUGGUAUGUACUGGUUUUAUUGGUUCUCACCUUCUAAAGAACCAUAAUGUCAUUCAUUUGAUGUUAUGGGGAAUUAGGACUGUUACCUUGAAAAAAUUAGAGUGUUUAAAGCAGGCUUACGCUUGAAUACAUUAGCAUGGAAUAAUGAAAUAGGACGUUUGAUUCUAUUUUGUUGGUUUCUAGGAUGACGUAAUGAUUAAUAGGGAUAGUUGGGGGCAUUAGUAUUCAAUUGUCAGAGGUGAAAUUCUUGGAUUUAUUGAAGACUAACUACUGCGAAAGCAUUUGCCAAGGAUGUUUUCAU